rnacentral:rRNA from 1 species
GUGGGGAAUCUUAGACAAUGGGCGCAAGCCUGAUCUAGCCAUGCCGCGUGAGCGAUGAAGGCCUUAGGGUUGUAAAGCUCUUUCAGGGGGGAAGAUAAUGACGGUACCCCCAGAAGAAGCCCCGGCUAACUCCGUGCCAGCAGCCGCGGUAAUACGGAGGGGGCUAGCGUUGUUCGGAAUUACUGGGCGUAAAGCGCACGUAGGCGGACCAGAAAGUCAGGGGUGAAAUCCCGGGGCUCAACCCCGGAACUGCCUUUGAAACUCCUGGUCUUGAGGUCGAGAGAGGUGAGUGGAAUUCCGAGUGUAGAGGUGAAAUUCGUAGAUAUUCGGAGGAACACCAGUGGCGAAGGCGGCUCACUGGCUCGAUACUGACGCUGAGGUGCGAAAGCGUGGGGAGCAAAUGGGAUUAGAAACCCUGGUAGUCC